rnacentral:rRNA from 1 species
AUGUCUACACCAACGGUUAAAAACUUUGCCUGGAGAGUUGCUAUAAAUUCACUUCCAACCUGGCAGAAUAAAUAUAAGAGAGGACUAGAAACUUUAGAUGUUUGUCCUGUUUGUGGUACAGAGCCGGAGGAUAGUUUCCAUGCACUAUGCCGAUGUCCACUAGCAGUCCAGCUCUGGGACUGUAUGAGGGAAGUGUGGCGCUUGCCGAAUCUUAAGGAAGUAAUUAACACUGGUGUAGAAUGGCUACUGGAUGUCUUGUAUCCAUUGGGAGAUGUUCAACGAACCAUGGUUUUGUUUACCUUUUGGAGAAUAUGGCAUAACCGUAAUGUGGUGACACACAAUAAGACCCCACCACCGAUGGAUACAUCCAGACGUUUUUUGUGCAGUUACAUGGACUCCUUGAUCGCAAUGGCCCAAGACUAUGGUUGUGAUCCCGUGAAAGGUAAAGUUGUAUUAUCUUAUGCUCCAGUUGUGAAAUGUACGCAUGAAAUACCAAAUGGUACACAUCCUGCAAAGUGGUCUCCUCCACCCGUUGGUUGGGUCAAACUUAAUACGGACGGAUCAUGGACGGAGGACGGUAAAGCUGGAGCUGGUAUGGUGCUUCGUGAUGAUUGCGGCAAUAUCAUCUAUUCAUCCUGCAGGGAACUCUUCUCAUGUCGAGAUGCCUUAGAAGCAGAAAUAAGUGCAUGCAUGGAGGGUUUAUCUCUAGCCAUUCAACGUUCGGAUCUCCCAAUUUGCAUUGAGAUGGAUUCGAUACUAGCGGUGAACAUGUUGAAUGACAGUGGCAUGAACAGGUCUGUUUAUGCGGCGCUGGUGCAGGAGAUCAUGCAUUUGAAGUCUCUUCGUAUGACUCGUAUUACUCAUAUCAAUCGUGGUCAGAACUGUGUAAGUGAUUUCCUAGCUAAAUUUGCUAGAACUGGUAGUAGAACCGUAGUUUGGUUGGGCUCUGGCCUCCAAGAAGUCAUUGAGUUAUGUAAUAAAGGAUUGUACGGUUGA